UACGGGGGGGGGUAAGCGUUGUUCGGAAUUACUGGGCGUAAAGGGCCCGUAGGCGGCCAACUAAGUCAGACGUGAAAUCCCUCAGCUUAACUGGGGAACUGCGUCUGAUACUGGAUGGCUUGGAUUCGGGAGAGGAAUGCGGAAUUCCAGGUGUAGCGGUGAAAUGCGUAGAUAUCUGGAGGAACACCGGUGGCGAAGGCGGCAUUCUGGACCGACAUUGACGCUGAGGAGCGAAAGCCAGGGGAGCAAACGGG
rnacentral:rRNA from 1 species